rnacentral:tRNA from 1 species
GCCGGGGUGGUGAAAUUGGUAGACGCGCUGGACUCAAAAUCCAGUUCCCUUCGGGGAGUGAGAGUUCGAUUCUCUCCUCCGGCACCA